rnacentral:rRNA from 1 species
GAUGAACGCUAGCUACAGGCUUAACACAUGCAAGUCGAGGGGAAACGACAUCGCAAGCUUGCUUUUGAUGGGCGUCGACCGGCGCACGGGUGAGUAACGCGUAUCCAACCUGCCCAUCACUUGGGAAUAACCUUGCGAAAGUAAGACUAAUACCCAAUGACAUCCCACGAAGACAUCUGAAUGGGAUUAAAGAUUUAUCGGUGAUGGAUGGGGAUGCGUCUGAUUAGCUUGUUGGCGGGGUAACGGCCCACCAAGGCAACGAUCAGUAGGGGUUCUGAGAGGAAGGUCCACAACAUUGGAACUGAGACACGGUCCAAACUCCUACGGGAGGCAGAAGUGAGGAAUAUUGGUCAAUGGGCGAGAGCCUGAACCAGCCAAGUAGCGUGCAGGAUGACGGCCCUAUGGGUUGUAAACUGCUUUUAUAAGGGAAUAAAGUGGGUCUCGUGAGACUUUUUGCAUGUACCUUAUGAAUAAGGACCGGCUAAUUCCGUG